rnacentral:piRNA from 1 species
GGCAAUAGAGACUAUUAGUGUGGGAC